UACGUAGGUGGCAAGCGUUGUCCGGAUUUAUUGGGUUUAAAGGGUGCGUAGGCGGCUUAUUAAGUCAGUGGUGAAAUACUCUAGCUCAACUAGAGGGGUGCCAUUGAUACUGAUGAGCUUGAGUACAGAUGAGGUAGGCGGAAUUGACGUGUAGCGGUGAAAUGCAUAGAUAUGACUUAGAACACCAAUUGCGAAGGCAGCUUGCUAAACAAAUAUUGACGCUGAGGCACGAAAGCGUGGGGAUCAAACAGG
rnacentral:rRNA from 1 species